AAAAUGGAAGAGGACUUCUGAAGGAGUCCUCUCUUCGACCGCUGAAGCUUCCCUAUUUGGCCACCGCACCAUCCGCGGCCCCAUCCUGUCGCCGUCUCCCCUUGUUCCCUCCACCAACCCUGGCGAACUCGAGUCCUUGUGGCUCCAUGCGAGCACCGGCAAACCCCAGCCACUGUCCAAGCUUCCCUAUUUGGCCGCUCUAAGUCUCCCACCGUAGCCACCUUCUAAGCUUCCCUAUUCGGCUGCUCCAAGCCUCCCACCAUUCAAGAUCUCCC
rnacentral:lncRNA from 1 species